rnacentral:tRNA from 1 species
GGGUAUAGUUCAAGUGGUAGAGCAUAGGCUUAGUAUGCAUGAGGUCCUAGGUUCAAUCCCUAGUACAGCCA